GCGGCGGCGUAGAGCGGUUCAGUCGCCAUCGUUCGCCAAGGCUUUCCGCUCCGACUGGACACUACCAGAGCACGUACACUACCGCUACGAGUAGACAGCCAGCCUUACUAGGUUUGCGAGCCGACGUCACGAGGAAAAUGAUAAGACACACAGUGUUGCUGCUGGCUGUGGUGGUGGCAAUCAUCUGCAUAGAAACGAGCGCCAAUCCGUUAACGUCAGAGGAGAUCGGCAGCGGAAGCGGUGACGGACUGGGAGAUAUGAUGAAGCCAGGAGACCCGAUCGACGGAACUUCCGUAAACCUAGAAGACAUGGAAUCCUCGUACAACAUGAUGAGUGCGUAUUGAGAUCGAUUGGCAUUGUCACCGCAUUGAGAUCGAUUGGCAUUAUCACCGCAUUGAGAUCGAUUGACAUUGUCACCGCAUUGAGAUCGAUUGACAUUGUUACCGUAUUGAGAUCGAUUGGCAUUGUCACCGUAUUGAGAUCGAUUGACAUUGUCACCGUAUUGCGAUCGAUUAACAUUAUCACCGCAUUGAGAUCGAUUGACAUUGUCACCGUAUUGAGAUCGAUUGGCAUUGUCACCGCAGUGAGAUCGAUUGACAUUGUCACCGUAUUGAAGAUUAUUCAAGAGGCUAUUUAACGCGAUGACGUAAAUCUGUAAAUAAACGUUGAUCAUGUUUAAUGAUCGAUUUGUGACAGAAGUAUCGUAGAUUUGUCGAUGGUAGUCUGUCGUGAUCGCUAUUAUAUCACGUAUAUAUAUAAAAAUACCAUGUGACCUUCGAUUUUUCGGACGGAACGGUUAUAUAGACUUUUUUAUAUUCUACGAAGAGCAAGAUAUUAAGACAUUCUGUAUCGACCACUUCUGAUGAUGUUGCUUAGAAAUGAAAAGACGAAAAUCUGAGAAAUAAAGCUCGGUCUAGCGUAAUCGUUUUAUCACCAAACUUUCGCUUAAUCAACAAUUUAUACGUGCAUCAUCUUUGUUGCGUGUUCAAGUUUAUGUGUUACUAUGGAAUAUUUUUAUUGUGAACGCGGUAUCGACGGUGACUCUUAUUAUCACAUAUCCGUAUAUUAAACAUACUAAUUCAUAAAUUCAAUAUUUUGAUGACUGAUAAAAUUUCCACAUGGAAAACUAAGGACUGUAUUCAAAUCUAUGUUUUAUAAAAUAGUAUAUAAGAUCUUUAGAUACCGAUAUAAAUAGAGUAAUCUUACUAAUUAAAGUGAUAUACAUUCCCCUUUUUUAUUUGUAAUAAAAUAAUUAUUCGAAAUUCGA